GAUGAACGCUGACAGAAUGCUUAACACAUGCAAGUCAACUUGAACUUCGGUUUGGGUGGCGGACGGGUGAGUAACGCGUAAAGAACUUGCCUCACAGAUAGGGACAACAUUUGGAAACGAAUGCUAAUACCUGAUAUUAUGAUUAUAUGGCAUCGUAUAAUUAUGAAAGCUAUAUGCGCUGUGAGAGAGCUUUGCGUCCCAUUAGCUAGUUGGAGAGGUAACGGCUCACCAAGGCGAUGAUGGGUAGCCGGCCUGAGAGGGUGAUCGGCCACAAGGGGACUGAGACACGGCCCUUACUCCUACGGGAGGCAGCAGUGGGGAAUAUUGGACAAUGGACCAAGAGUCUGAUACAGAAAUUCUGUGUGCACGAUGAAGUUUUUCGGAAUGUAAAGUGCUUUCAGUUGGGAAGAAAAAAAUGACGGUACCAACAGAAGAAGUGACGGCUAAAUACGUG
rnacentral:rRNA from 1 species